ensembl:lncRNA
UUUUUGUUUUUGUUUUUUUUUAACAAAAUGCAGCUUUUUCUCCACAAUGCUGUAUUUCAUCAUAAAUACCUGAUAAAGUUCCAUCAGUAUUUCAAAAUUCUCAUCAUUGUAUUGCACAGAUUAUAAUCUCAUGCAGAGCUGCAAACAACCCCAUCUUUGAACUUCUUGUAUUACAUGCAAAUUGUUAAGUGUUGCAUAUUUCUGUAGAACAUUCCCCUUCUGAAUAAUCUAUAGGUCGAAUUGUCUAUAACAAGUAUGGAUUAGUUUUUCUCCAUCUUACAGCAUCUUGGUGCCCAUCGAGUCUGCACCCUCUAGUAUACAGUUAUGGAAAUCCCAAAGCAAAACUUCCCUUACACUACAAAGUGGUAUAGCUAGAAAGUGAAAGGAACCUAACUAUUCUGACUUUUAGGCUAGGGCAAACAAACUUAUUCUGUAAUUUCUUAGUAUUCCUCAGCAUUUUCAUAGCAUCUAUCAAAAUCCCUAGCAUGUAGUAGACAUUUAAAAAAUACAAAUGACCCCUGAACAACACAAGUUUGAAGUACAUGGGUCCACUUAUAUGCAGAUUUUCUUUGGCCUCGUGGGCCACCCCUGAGACAGCAAGACUAAUCCCUCCUCCUCCUCAGAAUAUGAUAAAUAUGAAAAGCUUUAUGAUGAUCCACUUCCACUAAUGAAUAGUAAAUAUAUUUUCUCUUCUUUAUGAUUUUCCUAAUAACGUUUUCCUUUACCUAGCUUUCCUUACUGUAAGAAUACAGUAUAUAUGUAACAUGCAAAUCUGUGUCAAUUGACUAUGUCAUUGGUAAGGCUUCUGGUCAACAGAAGGUCACUAGUAGCUAAGUUUUCAGAAAGUCAAAGUUAUACAUAGAUUUUCGAAUGCACAAGGUUGGUUCCCCUAAAUCCCCACUCCCAGUUGUUCAAGGGUCAACUGUACCUACUGGCUGAUAAAACUGAGGCCACCUUUAAUCUUGAAUCCAUUGAAGCAUAUGGGCUGAUCCAUUACCAGAUUGAAAUUUCUAAACACACACAAACUGUCAGUUUUGCUGACAUCAAUGGGCAAUAGUUUUCUAACUGAAAAAUAAUGUUUCCAAGAUAUUGGAGACUUGGUCAAAAGCAGAAUUUAAAAGCUAAUGGAAAACAAAAAAGUCCUCCCACCCCAAAGGCAAUCUCAGCUGUUGAAGAUUCUUGCCCCUCUUAGUUGAGGCAGGCGGAUCACAAGGUCAGCAGUUCAAGACCCAGCCUGACCAACAUGGUGAAACCCCAUCUCUAUUAAAAAUACAAAAAUUAGCUGGGCAUGGUGGCGCGUGCCUGUAAUCCCAGUUCAAUGGGAUCCCAGCUCAGUGGAAUUACUAAAAUGAGCACUUAGUGCUGUAUAUAUCCUCUAAUUAAUUUACAAUUUUAUACACAGAGGAAAACACCGAAAACUGGAUGAGUCAGGAAAAGACUUUGAAGAGAACGCAGAACAUAAAUACACCCUUAUAAAAUGUUGACCUAAGGCAGAGAAGAUGAAGAACCAUCUAAAAGGAAAGAAUGGCACAGGCAAAAAAGCUUCAAGGAACGCGUGUGAAAUGUAUAGUAUUGGUUGGUGUGUGUCUCCACUAAAUGGUUUAGAAAUCAUGAAAAGUCAAACUGAAUAAAGAAACGAUAUUCAGGAGGUUGAUGCAAGAGAAUCGCUUGAACUCGGAAGGCGGAGGUUGCAGUGAGCCGAGAUCAUGCCACUGCACUCAGCCUGGGCAACAGAGUGAGACUCCAUCUCAGAAAAAAAAAGAAAGAAAAAAAAGAAAAUCAUGGCAGUCAGGGGAACUCC